AGUCUGAAUAGGGCGUUUAGUAUUUGGUCGUAGACCCGAAACCAGGUGAUCUACCCUUGGUCAGGUUGAAGUUCAGGUAACACUGAAUGGAGGACCGAACCGACUUACGUUGAAAAGUGAGCGGAUGAACUGAGGGUAGCGGAGAAAUUCCAAUCGAACCUGGAGAUAGCUGGUUCUCUCCGAAAUAGCUUUAGGGCUAGCCUCAAGUGAUGAUUAUUGGAGGUAGAGCACUGUUUGGACGAGGGGCCCCUCUCGGGUUACCGAAUUCAGACAAACUCCGAAUGCCAAUUAAUUUAACUUGGGAGUCAGAACAUGGGUGAUAAGGUCCGUGUUCGAAAGGGAAACAGCCCAGACCACCAGCUAAGGUCCCAAAAUAUAUGUUAAGUGGAAAAGGAUGUGGCGUUGCCCAGACAACUAGGAUGUUGGCUUAGAAGCAGCCAUCAUUUAAAGAGUGCGUAAUAGCUCACUAGUCGAGUGACACUGCGCCGAAAAUGUACCGGGGCUAAACAUAUUACCGAAGCUGUGGAUUGUCCUUUGGACAAUGGUAGGAGAGCGUUCUAAGGGCGUUGAAGCAUGAUCGUAAGGACAUGUGGAGCGCUUAGAAGUGAGAAUGCCGGUGUGAGUAGCGAAAGACGGGUGAGAAUCCCGUCCACCGAUUGACUAAGGUUUCCAGAGGAAGGCUCGUCCGCUCUGGGUUAGUCGGGUC
rnacentral:rRNA from 1 species